rnacentral:rRNA from 1 species
AGAGUUUGAUCCUGGCUCAGAACAAACGCUGGCGGCGUGUCUUAAGCAUGCAAGUUGAGCGGCAAGGGGGAGCAAUCCCUCCUAGAGCAGCGGACUGGUGAGUAACGCGUGGGUAAUCUGCCUUGGGCAUGGGGAUAGCCACUAGAAAUAGUGGGUAAUACCGAAUACGUUCCACGGGGGGAGGACUUGUGGAAGAAAGGGUGCUACGGCACUGGCCUGAGAUGAGCUCGCGUCCCAUUAGCUGGUUGGUGAGGUAACGGCCCACCAAGGCGAUGAUGGGUAGCCGGCCUGAGAGGGUGUACGGCCACACUGGGACUGAGAUACGGCCCAGACUCCUACGGGAGGCAGCAGCUAAGAAUAUUCCGCAAUGGACGGAAGUCUGACGGAGCGACGCCGCGUGGAUGACGAAGGCCGAAAGGUUGUAAAGUUCUUUUGCUGGGGAAGAAUAACCGCAGGAGGGAAUGCCUGUGGGAUGACAUGAACCGGCGAAUAAGCCCCGGCCAACUACGUGCCAGCAGCCGCGGUAACACGUAGGGGGCGAGCGUUGUUCGGAAUUACUGGGCGUAAAGGGCAUGUAGGCGGCUUGGUAAGCCUGGCGUGGAA